GACGAACGCUGGCGGCGUGCCUAAUACAUGCAAGUCGAGCGGAUUUUUGGGAGCUUGCUCCCUGAAGUCAGCGGCGGACGGGUGAGUAACACGUGGGCAACCUGCCUGUAAGACUGGGAUAACUUCGGGAAACCGGAGCUAAUACCGGAUACGUUCUUUCCUCGCAUGAGGAAAGAUGGAAAGAUGGUUUCGGCUAUCACUUACAGAUGGGCCCGCGGCGCAUUAGCUAGUUGGUGGGGUGAUGGCCCACCAAGGCGACGAUGCGUAGCCGACCUAGUAGGGUGAUCGGCCACACUGGGACUGAGACACGGCCCAGACUCCUACGGGAGGCAGCAGUAGGGAAUCUUCCGCAAUGGACGAAAGUCUGACGGAGCAACGCCGCGUGAGCGAAGAAGGCCUUCGGGUCGUAAAGCUCUGUUGUCAGGGAAGAACAAGUGCCAGAGUAACUGCUGGCACCUUGACGGUACCUGACCAGAAAGCCACGGCUAACUACGUGCCAGCCGCCGCAGUAACAC
rnacentral:rRNA from 1 species